UUCUCCUCUUAACUCUCUCUGCUGACUUCAUCUGGUAGGGGUGAUGGUGGUGGUAACGGAUAUUGGGUGGUGGUGAUUGUGAAGAGGAUGAAGAUUGAGAUUUAGAUAUGCUAAUGGAUUGUGAUUGAGGAAGAAAAGAUGAAGAAUCAGAUGGGAAAAUCAUUACGAUGGUGUUCUAAUUGUUGAGAUUGAAGCUUUUUAUCUUUGUUAGGUAACAAUUUUGUUUUAAUUGUUUUUUGUUAAGAAAUUAAAAUGGGGGUUUUAAUUUGUGCACUUGUAACUAAUGGCCUCUAUUGUUUCAUGGUGGGAGGAUAAGAUUGAGAGAGAUUUAUAGAUGGUAAAAGAACAUGAAUGAAAACGGGGGUUUUGUUCUUGUUGUCUUGUUUGGGUCUGAAUUUCGAAAACAAAUCAAUUAGGUGAAGAAAUGUGUUGCUGCUAUGGAUUGGAGUCCAGGAUUAUUGACUGUUCGUAAUGGCCGACGGUGGUGAUUAUUCUCGAGGCCAAGCAAAAUUGGUGGAAUUGGUUAUUCUUAUCAAGGGGAUUUUCAUGGGUAUUGACAGUGGAAUGUAUUCAAGUCGUAAUUGGAGGUUUUCCGGAGAGGUUUUUAGAUAAGAAGAGAAGAAGAAUGUUGCUAUGAUGAUUGUUUUUAGAAUGUUUGAUGUAUUUAUAUAUUUCUGUUAUUGCUGGAAUUGAUGCUUCUGGAGAGAAGGAGACGCCGAAGAGUUUAUGAAUCAUUUCAGAUCAAUGGUGCAGGUUCCUCUCCAUUGUCUAUCACGUACAUCAAGUGUUCGAGAAAAAGCUUGACCGACCAGUUAUUAGCGAUCAGCAAACAAUACAAGGUUCAUGAGUUUGGUUUGGGUAUCAUGGAAUUGGGAAAGAGGAUGAACGAUCUACUGUUUAAGUCCCCCGCCAAACUGGUAAGUACGUAAGUCCCAGUCAAUUCAAUUCGGUACUGAGUUCCCGAUUUAAUUAGGUGUGAGUUAGACAAAAGGGUUAAACUGUCUUUCACCUAGGUUGAGUAAUUGCCACGUUUGCACUAACAUCCGUCAGGCGUUUUUUCAAAAUGCAUUUUCCCACAUAGGUAUUUUAUUAAAAACCCCAAGAAUAAUUCCCAUAAUUUCAUUAUUUUAAUGGUCGUAUCUUCAUGUUCCCCUGAAAAUUAAAUCAUGUUUUCAUCCAUAACAAAUUUAACAUUCUUAGGAACAUUUGAGCAUUCUUGAUAACAUCUAUCUUACAAAAACAAAUGGUUUUUGGACCAUUCGAUGGUCCUUAAUUGAGUUUUUUAGUUCAUCAACGACUUCAAUUGCUUAAAAAUAUAGAAAAAUGAAAUAGAUAAAUCGUGGUUAAGAAUGCACCCUUUUUCUCCGCCCUCAUCCAACGUCCUAAAUCAAAAUCUUCAUGUGUUACCCAAAAUUGGCAGAUUUAUUAUCAUCGGUUACAUAGACAGAGUUAGUAUAAUAUAAUCAUUCUAUGUCAAAACGUUUCAUUUCCUCUCGAUAAAACCGAUUAUCUCACAUCAAUCCUCCCAACCAGUUAUGGAAUGCAUUAAAACUGGAGAUGGUUAAACAUGGAAAAGUGCGUAGAUUCAUGAGCUCUUGGACGACCAGUGGAAUAAAAGC